rnacentral:rRNA from 1 species
GUGUAGCGGUGAAAUGCGUAAAGAUUAGGAAGAACACCAGUGGCGAAGGCGACUUUCUGGACCGUAACUAUCGCUGAGGCAUGAAAGCGUGGGUAGCAAACAGGAUUAGAUACCCUGGUAGUCCACGCCGUAAACGAUGAGUACUAGGUGUAGGAGGUAUCGACUCCUUCUGUGCCGCAGUUAACACAAUAAGUACUCCGCCUGGGAAGUAC